GACGAACGCUGGCGGCGUGCCUAAUACAUGCAAGUUGAGCGCUGAAGGUUGGUACUUGUACCGACUGGAUGAGCAGCGAACGGGUGAGUAACGCGUGGGAAUCUGCCUUUGAGCGGGGGACAACAUUUGGAAACGAAUGCUAAUACCGCAUAAAAACUUUAAACACAAGUUUUAAGUUUGAAAGAUGCAAUUGCAUCACUCAAAGAUGAUCCCGCGUUGUAUUAGCUAGUUGGUGAGGUAAAAGGCUCACCAAGGCGAUGAUACAUAGCCGACCUGAGAGGGUGAUCGGCCACAUUGGGACUGAGACACGGCCCAAACUCCUACGGGAGGCAGCAGUAGGGAAUCUUCGGCAAUGGAACGAAAGUCUGACCGAGCAACGCCGCGUGAGUGAAGAAGGUUUCGGAUCGUAAAACUCUGUUGGUAGAGAAGAACGUUGGUGAGAGUGGAAAGCUCAUCAAGUGACGGUAACUACCCAGAAAGGGACGGACUAACUACGUGCCAGCAGCCGCGC
rnacentral:rRNA from 1 species